CAAAAAAUAGUUUAAUGUAGAAUACCAGUUUUGGGGACUGGCGAUGGGGGUUUAAUUCCCCCUUUUUUGA
rnacentral:tRNA from 1 species